UUGGAGGGCAAGUCUGGUGCCAGCAGCCGCGGUAAUUCCAGCUCCAAUAGCGUAUAUUAAAGUUGUUGCAGUUAAAAAGCUCGUAGUUGAAUUUCGGGAUCAAAUAAUCGGUCGUGCCUCCGGUACGUACUGGUUUUAUUGGUUCCUCCCUUCUGACGAACCAUGAUGUCAUUAAUUUGAUGUGGUGGAGAAUCAGGACUGUUACCUUGAAAAAAUUAGAGUGUUUAAAGCAGGCUAACGCUUGAAUACAUUAGCAUGGAAUAAUGAAAUAGGACGUUCGACCCUAUUUUGUUGGUUUCUAGGAUCGACGUAAUGAUUAAUAGGGAUAGUUGGGGGCAUUAGUAUUCAAUUGUCAGAGGUGAAAUUCUUGGAUUUAUUGAAGACUAACUACUGCGAAAGCAUUUGCCAAGGAUGUUUUCAUUAAUCAAGAACGAAAGUUAGGGGAUCGAAGACGAUCAGAUACCGUCGUAGUCUUAACCAUAAACUAUGCCGACUAGGGAUCGGAUGAUGUUAAUUUUUUAAUGACUCAUUCGGCGCCUUACGGGAAAC
rnacentral:rRNA from 2 species